rnacentral:rRNA from 1 species
CGUAUAUUAAAGUUGUUGCAGUUAAAAAGCUCGUAGUUGGAUUUGUGGAUGAUCUUGAGGUCCACGUGUUGCGUUGGUACUAUUGAGAUUGUCCAUCCUUGGGUGGAAUCUGUGUGGCAUUAGGUUGUCGUGCAGGGGAUGCCCAUCGUUUACUGUGAAAAAAUUAGAGUGUUCAAAGCAGGCUUAUGCCGCUGAAUAUAUUAGCAUGGAAUAAUGAGAUAGGACUUGGGUGCUAUUUUGUUGGUUUGCGCACCUUGGUAAUGAUUAAUAGGGACAGUUGGGGG